rnacentral:rRNA from 1 species
GAUGAACGCUGGCGGCGUGCCUAAUACAUGCAAGUCGAGCGAACAGACGAGGAGCUUGCUCCUCUGACGUUAGCGGCGGACAGGUGAGUAACACGUGGAUAACCAACCUAUAAGACUGGGAUAACUUCGGGAAACCGGAGCUAAUACCGGAUAAUAUAUUGAACCGCAUGGUUCAAUAGUGAAAGACGGUUUUGCUGUCACUUAUAGAUGGAUCCGCGCCGCAUUAGCUAGUUGGUAAGGUAACGGCUUACCAAGGCAACGAUGCGUAGCCGACCUGAGAGGGUGAUCGGCCACACUGGAACUGAGACACGGUCCAGACUCCUACGGGAGGCAGCAGUAGGGAAUCUUCCGCAAUGGGCGAAAGCCUGACGGAGCAACGCCGCGUGAGUGAUGAAGGUCUUCGGAUCGUAAAACUCUGUUAUUAGGGAAGAACAAAUGUGUAAGUAACUAUGCACGUCUUGACGGUACCUAAUCAGAAAGCCACGGCUAACUACGUG